rnacentral:tRNA from 1 species
GCCUCGUUGGUGCAUUAGGCAGCGCGUCAGUCUCAUAAUCAGAAGGUCGUGAGUUCGACCCUCACACGUUGCA